rnacentral:rRNA from 1 species
GGGACACGUGAAACCCUGUGGGAAGCAGGAGGGACCACCCUCCAAGGCUAAAUACUACCUAGUGACCGAUAGCGUAUAGUACCGUGAGGGAAAGGUGAAAAGAACCCCGGGAGGGGAGUGAAAUAGAACCUGAAACCCUGCACUUACAAGCUGUGGAAGCACAUUUCUUGUGUGACCGCGUACUUUUUGUAGAACGGGCCAACGAGUUACGUUAAGUAGCAAGGUUAAGCACUUAAGGUGCGGAGCCGUAGCGAAAGCGAGUUUUAACUGAGCGUUCAGUUACUUGACGUAGACCCGAAACCGGGCGACCUACCCAUGAGCAGGAUGAAGCGAAAGUAAAAUUUCGUGGAGGUCCGAACCCACGAGCGUUGAAAAGCUCGGGGAUGACUUGUGGGUAGCGGUGAAAUUCCAAUCGAGCCCGGAGAUAGCUGGUUCUCCCCGAAAUAGCUUUAGGGCUAGCCUCAAGGUGAGAGAUACGGAGGUAGAGCACUGAAUGUCCUAGGGGGUAUUGCACCUACCGAAGACUAUCAAACUCCGAAUGCCGUCAUCUUAUACUUGGGAGUCAGACUGUGGGUGAUAAGAUUCAUAGUCGAAAGGGCAACAGCCCAGAUCGUCAGCUAAGGUCCCUAAAUGUAAGUUAAGUGGUAAAGGAUGUGGGAUUGCACAGACAACCAGGAUGUUGGCUUAGAAGCAGCCACUCAUUCAAAGAGUGCGUAAUAGCUCACUGGUCGAGUGAUCCUGCGCCGAAGAUUUCCGGGGCUAAAACUUACUACCGAAGCUACGGCAUCAGUAAUGAUGGGUAGGGGAGCUUCCCAUACGGGUUGAAGCAUGACCGUAAGGACAUGUGGACAGUAUGGGAGUGAGAAUGUUGGCAUGAGUAGCGAGAUGUGGGUGAGAAUCCCACAGGCCGUAAACCCAAGGUUUCCAGGGGAAGGUUCGUCCGCCCUGGGUUAGUCGGGACCUAAGCUGAGGCCGAAAGGCGUAGGUGAUGGACAACAGGUUGAUAUUCCUGUACUACCGAUAACC